rnacentral:pre_miRNA from 1 species
CCUUGUUCAGCUUGGUUGUGGUGUAAAAGGUUCUCAUCACAACCUGCUUGAAUGAGGAC